GAUGAACGCUGGCGGCGUGCCUAAUACAUGCAAGUCGAGCGAACAGACGAGGAGCUUGCUCCUCUGACGUUAGCGGCGGACGGGUGAGUAACACGUGGAUAACCUACCUAUAAGACUGGGAUAACUUCGGGAAACCGGAGCUAAUACCGGAUAACAUGUUGAACCGCAUGGUUCAACAGUGAAAGACGGUUUUGCUGUCACUUCUAGAUGGAUCCGCGUCGCAUUAGCUAGUUGGUAAGGUAACGGCUUACCAAGGCAACGAUGCGUAGCCGACCUGAGAGGGUGAUCGGCCACACUGGAACUGAGACACGGUCCAGACUCCUACGGGAGGCAGCAGUAGGGAAUCUUCCGCAAUGGGCGAAAGCCUGACGGAGCAACGCCGCGUGAGUGAAGAAGGUCUUCGGAUCGUAAAACUCUGUUAUUAGGGAAGAACAAAUGUGUAAGUAACUAUGCACGUCUUGACGGUACCGAAUCAGAAAGCCACGGCUAACUACGUG
rnacentral:rRNA from 1 species